UACGUAGGCAGCGAGCGUUGUUCGGAGUUACUGGGCGUAAAGGGUGCGUAGGCGGUUGUUUAAGUUUGGUGUGAAAUCUCCCGGCUCAACCGGGAGGGUGCGCCGAAUACUGAGGGACUAGAGUACGGGAGAGGAAAGUGGAAUUCCUGGUGUAGCGGUGAAAUGCGUAGAUAUCAGGAGGAACACCGGUGGUGUAGACGGCUUUCUGGACCGUAACUGACGCUGAGACACGAAAGCGUGGGUAGCAAACAGG
rnacentral:rRNA from 1 species